AGGAAUACAUCGGAAUCUGCCUUGUUGUGGGGGAUAACGUAGGGAAACUUACGCUAAUACCGCAUAAGACCGUAAGGUGAAAGCGGGGGAUCGAAAGACCUCGCGCGACAAGAUGAGCCGAUGUCGGAUUAGCUAGUUGGCGGGGUAAUGGCCCACCAAGGCGACGAUCCGUAGCUGGUCUGAGAGGAUGAUCAGCCACACUGGAACUGAGACACGGUCCAG
rnacentral:rRNA from 1 species